AUAAAUAUAAAUAUACAUGUAUACAGGUACGAACACAUAUAUAUGUAUAUGUAUAUUAUAUAUAUAUUAUAUAUCAGCACUCGGUAGAUAUAGGUACACCCAUAAAUUUACCUAUACUACCUAGACGUAAGAGAAGAUUCUAUUGAAACGCAUUCGAAACGAAAGGAGAAGAUCGUGUAAUGUCCAUACAAUUAGAGAAGAAACGACGGAGUCGAGGGGGUCCGGGAGAAUGGACGGUGUUGCGAUUUACGCGAUUAGGGGACGAAUAUUAUAUACUACAAAAUAGUAUUAGACUUUUAGAUCUGCGAGCGUGCGAUUGCGUGCAACGAACGAGAGCGUGUGAAUCGUUUGAGUGAGAGAGUGCAUGGAAUCUACCGUGGUCUGUAUUUUAUUGUGGAAGUUCCUGUUCCUCGAGAGAGAGAGAGAGAGAGAGAGAGAGAGAGAGAGAGAGAGAGAGAGAGAGAGAGAGAGAGAGAGAGAGAGAGAGAGAAGGUUGAUCAAGAGAGAACUGUACAUGUGAUCUGAUAUGUAAUUAUUAUAUGCGGUGGACAUAUGUACACCGACGGCAUAACGAAUCCAAUGAGUUUCUGUAGAUGAAUUGGUUCUCAAUUGAUAUGGUGGAAUGAUGUCGCUCGGUCUGACCAUUUUUAUUCGGGCUAGUGUUCAACACCAGAUGUGUACAUGUAUUUACUAGAUUGUGCGAACUCGUCGAUAAUCAAGUUGAAUAGUAGUUUAGAAUAAGUUUAGCAAAACUCUCUGAACUGCCAUUCAAGCCGAACAAAAAAUAAUAAGUAGAAUAUCGAAUUUCGUUUGAAGCCGUUCGAAAUGCUUGCAUUGUGGGUGACAUAGCCGGAAAAGAGGAUCCCUCGAGUGGACAGUAUGAGAUCUCUCCUGAGUGUGUGCCCUUUUUGUAUCGUUUUACGGUCUUCUUCAUUUUUUUACAGUCGUUCUGCUUACAAAUGCACGACGUUGCCGAUUCGGAUCUCGGAUAAACGAUAAUUAGCAAUCGGCAGAAAAGAAAAGAAAGGCGACGACCUAAGAAAAUGAAGCUGACCCUAGAUACUUCGAACAGCAGAGACAAGCGCGAUGUUCAUUUGCUUGGAAGGAUCAUCGUACGACACACAAGCGUGUAACGCAAGUUUUUUUAUCGAUACACCUAACGCUAUUUUGCAAGCUUUUUUGCAAACGACAGUUCCGAUUAAUACGGCUGCAUCUUUAUGCAAAAGAAGUUCGUAAAAAGAGGUAUACAAUAGCAUUUCAAGAAUUGAAUUUUUAUAGUUUUCGCCGGUAAGUUUAUUCCGAUACGUGUCGGCCCCGAAAUGUUCAUCGUUUUUCUUACGGUCUAUUUCAGGUAGAAUAACGACUAUUUGACUAAUAAGCAUCAAUAGCGAUCGAACCGGUACCACCACCCUGCGUCAUCGAAGCAUUGCACCCUACCAAUUGAGGGUCGAUUAUCGUUCCCGCGAUCGAAUUCGUCGGUACGCAACGCGCUUCACCACGUUGUCCACAUCGCCGCAGCUGUACCUUUCUGUUUCUUUCUCGCAUCCGGCGAGCACGAUUCGAGAGGCAUGGAUCCAUUGUAAAUAAAAUGUCGAAACCAGAUAGAAAGUGACUGAAACGGAAUUAACUAAGAGAAUAUAGUACGGUUAAGUGGGGAGACACGAUUAGAGCAGGAGAGAGACUGCGCGAAUGGGAACGACAAAAUAGUUGCGAAAAUGCGUGAAAGUGUGUGAGUGGGUGUUUUAAGUUAUACUCUAAAUGAAUUCGUUAAGUCGGAAACUUUGAGAAUUGCUCGCGUCGACUGCCGAGAACAAGACCGUAGAAACACAAAACGGGGACGCAGGCGUGUGUCCUCGCGCUCGCGUCGUUUAGUUAACAAAUACAAAACGGGAUUCAAGAUAAGAGAAGAAAAAUUUAAAAAAGAGAAGAACGGCAGAGGUGGCGAACAACGGACGAGAAAAAACAAGAAAUAAUGAAGUAAAUAAUAAAAAAAAAACACAAAGGCUCUCCUAGUUACUUGCUCAUUGAAAUAAUAUUCUAAAUAAACGUUCGUAACGGAACAGAAGUCUAGAUACGCAUCAGUAUAAUGAGAAAUAAUUUUACGUACAAAUAAGUAAGGAUCAACGCGCACGUGGACGCAGUCGCGCGCACGUGUAGCCCAGCCAUUUUAAUGCGGGACUCGGGGAAACUCGCACUUCCGACGAUCCAUAUCGAUCCCGAACACGCAAACAAUGGUGCUUGCUAGUCGCGUCGCGGUGUCGAGCAACAAAAAUUUGAUCGACCAUUCUCGAAGCGACAGAUAUUGUUACCAGAACGAAAAUAGAAUGGAAAUUGAAACAGAUGAUCCUCCUUCACCCUACUGUCCCUUUAAUCUUUGUAGAACACUCGUUAACGAUAUCGGCUGUCGGAAAAAGUUCCUACGGAUUUGCAUUAUACUUUCCUUGGAAGGAUACGGAUCGGUUAAUUCGUUCAUCUAGCUUUCUAUGAAAACGGAGCAGCCGAAGACGCUUUCUUGCCGUGCCUUUUAUUACAUUAGUGAGCACAUUCGUUACACACGUAGACUCGAAAAUGCUCUACUUAUAACGUAAAAGAAUCUUCAAACGAAAACAGCGCAUUGCUGCGUUCCCAAAUUUUCAUAUAGAGUACAAUGGCAUGCGUUCUCAGCUGUUCGUUCGCCGUCUUCGAACUUUGUACAAACACGGUGUAACACCAUCAUCGGUAACGAAAAACGCAAGCAUAGAGUAUCGAACGAACAUUCCAACGAUUAUCAUUGUUUCGGUGAAAUAUUACGAAAUGCUCUUCCGCGUCGCCGUGCGGGAAGAAUCGCGUGAACUUUUUCCGAUAUCCGAUAGAACAUAGUGGGGCCUCUUAUUUAAUUGGAGCACAGGUAAGACAGAUAAUUAAAACUCCAUCGAGAAAAAAAACGAAAUUACGUUUAUUUACGAGAUCGAUCGGAAACGCAAAUGGAAUUUCAAUUGAGCGAACAAAUGUACGGUGCCGGUAUGUUCUUGUUUUGUGAAAUGUGCGGAAGUGUAUUUACUUAGAAUUUGUGUCUCGGAUCCUGGUAAUGCCUGUUUCUACAUAUUCUACGCGUAACAAGAAAUAAACGCAACGACGAUAUUAAAUAUUUCGACCAAUUUGAAAUUUCGGACACUGUUCGCGAGAUUCGAAUGAAAGAGUAGUAGAGAUAUAGUUUAGAUUCUAUGGUGUGUCACACUGAGUUCUCGAGACAACCUCCGCCAAUAUCGAAAUUGAAAUUCAUUUGCAAAAAACGGAAAAUUAUUUUUGUAUGCUGUACAUAAUUGAUCGUAAUUACCGAAACGAUAGCGAGUAUACAAUUUUCUUUACGUGUAGUUGUAACGUCGGGUGCAGGUGUUAUUUAAGCAUUCAGUUCUGUUUAAGUCGAGAUGGCGUAUUAUUUCUGUACUAUUACGCGAUCGAGGGGAAAUAGUACUUUGUUGCUUGACAUAUUGCUGCUAAAUAUAUCGAUCUAAAGAAAUAUAUAAAUAACACUGAAUAUCUUGUACUCGGGUAAGUAAUAACACUAACAAUCAAAUCCCAAUUAAUCGAGGUCCCAUCGAAUGAUCAAACGAAAAUUGAUUUUAUGAAAUUGUACAAUCAUAUUUGUGCUCCGAGGUUCGAUAGAAACAAAAGCAAAAAAAAAGAAAGAAUCACGCGUAAUUCUGUGUCGAUUUACCGUACUUCCGUAAGUAAGUAUACGAGCGGAAUUGAAAAUGGCGCGAUGGCGUGCGUGUGCCUGUUCGGCCACGUGCGUUCACGAUGGAACACGAUUUCUAUUAUAUUUAAGCUCGAUCACUGUGAGCCGUACAAUUUACAGUGAGCAUGUAUAGCCUGUGAACAAUUACAAGCUUGUAAACCGAGAAACGACGGUACAUCACUAUCGUUAAAAUGGCGACGAAUAUGAAUAUACAUUGUUACGUAAACGAGUAUAAAGAGUCGUUGCAUCGUGUCUCGUAGCAUGAUCAAUUCACCUAAAUGAAAACUAUUACUACGUGAUACGCCAUUAUUAUGUAAAAGUUUUUAUUGUGUGAGUAAAAUUAUGUUCUGGACGAUAAAUGUGUAUAUUGUAAAUAAUAAAUCUCGUCCUUUUCUUCGUGCA